UCGGAGAAAACUUAUGCAAAUACAUCCAAAUUGGUACAUGUUGCAAUAUUCACAAGGCUCAUUCUUGAUGUUGCAACAUUCUGGACCCAAGCUCUUUUUUGUGUUGCGCUGGCAUUGGAGAGAUAUAUUUACAUCGUGGAAGGAACUCGAGCAAAGCAAAUACUAACUCCGCAACGUCGUUUGAAGUUUUAUUCGGGAAUCUUAACUCUCAGCCUCUCUGUGCCUGUUUUUGUAGUCUGUGACUUCGCUCUCAACAUGAGGCAAUAUUCGGAUGAGGACGUUGAUCAAAUUCCUACACUCCAGGGCAAUGGGAUUUCUGAAUGCCCAGAAUGUAUUCGAUUCAAGAUACAAAACUUUGCACCCUUAGGACUUAUCACAUGUGUGAUCACAUUAGUCAUUUGCUCUUUUCUGUACGUGAAAAGUGCACUGGUUUUGCGAAAGUCUUCAAUACAAAGAGCUGGGCUACUGACUAAAGCUUUUGCAGCUAUUCUUGUCGCAUGGGUUUUCAUGGUUUGGCCUCACAUUAUUUUCGUGGACUUCUUUCUCAAAGGGCAACAACCAAACUUACCUGUGUUGUUGAAAAAAGUUGGGAGCAGGAUGGGAGUUCUUGAUCGGUUCUCGUCUAUUCUUUUUGGCUUCUCAAUGGAAAAUGAAAUCGAAGAGUAUACUAAACUAUACAGAAUGGAUAUCAUUUUACGUGGGCUUCGUCUCAGUUAUGGCAUGGUGAACACUAUUAUUGUUUUCAUUCUGAUGAAGCCGUUGCAAAAGCCAGCUAUUGAGUUGAAAAACUGGCUCAAAAAAAAGUUAGGGAUGAAAAACUGAUCCCUGAAGCAAUGAAGGUGUACCCGAUUUCUGGACACAGAAUAAAAACGAUCUUGCCCGAUACUAUUUGUGUUAUACCCGAUUCUUUUCAUUGAAUAAGCCACCAAUCCGAAAUGUCUCAU